UUUUCUUUCUCCACUUCAACCCAAAUCUGAUGUAACUUUAGCUGUUGUGAACCGUGAAGCUACGCACACACCAGCCUUGAUAACGCUCCCUCAAGCAUUCACUUCCAAUUGAAAAGUCUUUGCAAAUGCGCGUUUCGGGCUUUUGCGUUAAAAACUCUUGCGUUCACACGUAGCUACUCAAUUUAUUGACAAUUUUCUCGCUUAACAUGCCAAACGCGUGGCCGUUGAACGGGAGUUUCCAGCUAAACCAAGUCAAACUUUGACCAUUCAGGGACUUGGAUGGUGUCCCUUUCAGUUCACGGGGUAGCCAAGCAUCACAUUUGAAAGUUGUCUGAUCAUGGAGGAGAAAAUAAUAAGUUUUCCCAGCUGGAAUCGUAUGAUACCAAGUCUUUCAUAUAUUGGAAUAGAGCUGUGAAGGACAAGUCCUGGAGCAGUGUGUCGGAGAAGGUUGGAUUGCCACGAUCAAGAAGGAAGAGGAAACGGCCCCCAGAGGAGUCUGUGGACCUUGAGAGAGAGAUCCUUCGGGCUCUGCAGGCCGGGCCACAUGUCCCCCCACCACCACCUCUGUCAGAAACUGAGCUUUUUAUGAAAAGUUUAAUCCCAAUGAUUGACAGCCUCCCUCCUCUGAGGAGGGGGGCUUUAAAGUUAAAAAUACACAGUCUGGUUUUUGAAUCUGUUUCUGAGUUCUUAUGAAAUAGAUGUUUCUUUUUCUUGUAGAUUGUGGUGUUGACUAUGAAAUGAGCAAAUUGUUGUUUGUUUUUUGUUUUGUUUUUUUUUACACUGCUCCUUUUACUUAUUUAGUUUUAAUCCAGUGAUUAAAAAGUCACUUUUCAUUUAGAUCAAAUGUAAUCAAAGUGUCAUUAAAUGCAGAGAAAAUCAAGAAGUUUUUUUUCCUGUAUUUGUUUCUUCUGACUGCAAUUACUAAUUUAUUUAAUUGUAUAUUAAGCCAUUUAACUGUUUGAUAAAAAAACCAAAAACAAACAUGGGCUAAACCCGCGUCGAAUCAAAUGCCGGUUGUGUACGUAGCUUGAGGUUCAGUCUGCAGAUCCAUUUGACCUUUAACAUCCUAUGCUAAAGGUCAAAUGUAAAGCACAAAUAAAUAAGUCACUU